UACAGAGGUCUCAACCGUUGUUCGGAUUCAUUGGGCGUAAAGGGUGCGUAGGCGGUCGCGCAAGUCGGAUGUGAAAUCUCAGGGCUCAACCCUGAAACUGCAUUCGAUACUGCGUGGCUAGAGUGCUGGAGAGGAGACUGGAAUUUACGGUGUAGCAGUGAAAUGCGUAGAUAUCGUAAGGAAGAUCAGUGGCGAAGGCGAGUCUCUGGACAGCAACUGACGCUGAGGCACGAAGGCCAGGGGAGCAAACGGG
rnacentral:rRNA from 1 species